ensembl:snRNA U2 U2 spliceosomal RNA
AUUGUUUCUCGGUUUUUUAACUAAGAUCAAAUAUAGUAUUUGUUAUUAAUAAUUUAAUACUUGACACGUUCUGAAAACAAUGUAUUAACUAAAUCUUUAAAGCUGGGAAAUAGAAUAGGAGCUUGUUUUGUUCACACCACAUAUGGACCUGGUAUUGCAAUAUUUCCAAAAAUGGUGCACUUCUU